GAUGAAGAAUGCAGCGAAAUGCGAUAAGUAGUGUGAAUUGCAGAAUUCAGUGAAUCAUCGAAUCUUUGAACGCACAUUGCGCCCCUUGGUAUCCCGAGGGGCAUGCCUGUUCGAGCGUCAUUUCACCACUCAAGCCUGGCUUGGUGUUGGGCGACGUCCUCUUUGGGGACGCGCCUCGAAACGCUCGGCGGCGUGGCACCGGCUUUAAGCGUAGCAGAAUCUUUCGCUUUGGAAGUCGGGGCCCCGUCUGCCGGAAGACCUGCUCGCAAGGUUGACCUCGGAUCAGGCAGGGAUACCCGCUGAACUUAAGCAUAUCAAUAAGCGGUGGA
rnacentral:misc_RNA from 1 species